CUCAGAUUGAACGCUGGCGGCAGGCCUAACACAUGCAAGUCGAGCGGCAGCGGAAAGUAGCUUGCUACUUUGCCGGCGAGCGGCGGACGGGUGAGUAAUGUCUGGGAAACUGCCUGAUGGAGGGGGAUAACUACUGGAAACGGUAGCUAAUACCGCAUAACGUCGCAAGACCAAAGAGGGGGACCUUCGGGCCUCUUGCCAUCAGAUGUGCCCAGAUGGGAUUAGCUAGUAGGUGGGGUAACGGCUCACCUAGGCGACGAUCCCUAGCUGGUCUGAGAGGAUGACCAGCCACACUGGAACUGAGACACGGUCCAGACUCCUACGGGAGGCAGCAGUGGGGAAUAUUGCACAAUGGGCGCAAGCCUGAUGCAGCCAUGCCGCGUGUAUGAAGAAGGCCUUCGGGUUGUAAAGUACUUUCAGCGGGGAGGAAGGCGUUGAGGUUAAUAACCUCAGCAAUUGACGUUACCCGCAGAAGAAGCACCGGCUAACUCCGUGCCAGCAGCCGCGGUAAUACGGAGGGUGCAAGCGUUAAUCGGAAUUACUGGGCGUAAAGCGCACGCAGGCGGUCUGUCAAGUCGGAUGUGAAAUCCCCGGGCUCAACCUGGGAACUGCAUUCGAAACUGGCAGGCUAGAGUCUUGUAGAGGGGGGUAGAAUUCCAGGUGUAGCGGUGAAAUGCGUAGAGAUCUGGAGGAAUACCGGUGGCGAAGGCGGCCCCCUGGACAAAGACUGACGCUCAGGUGCGAAAGCGUGGGGAGCAAACAGGAUUAGAUACCCUGGUAGUCCACGCCGUAAACGAUGUCGACUUGGAGGUUGUGCCCUUGAGGCGUGGCUUCCGGAGCUAACGCGUUAAGUCGACCGCCUGGGGAGUACGGCCGCAAGGUUAAAACUCAAAUGAAUUGACGGGGGCCCGCACAAGCGGUGGAGCAUGUGGUUUAAUUCGAUGCAACGCGAAGAACCUUACCUACUCUUGACAUCCAGAGAACUUUCCAGAGAUGGAUUGGUGCCUUCGGGAACUCUGAGACAGGUGCUGCAUGGCUGUCGUCAGCUCGUGUUGUGAAAUGUUGGGUUAAGUCCCGCAACGAGCGCAACCCUUAUCCUUUGUUGCCAGCGGUCCGGCCGGGAACUCAAAGGAGACUGCCAGUGAUAAACUGGAGGAAGGUGGGGAUGACGUCAAGUCAUCAUGGACCUUACGAGUAUGGCUACACACGUGCUACAAUGGCGCAUACAAAGAGAAGCGACCUCG
rnacentral:rRNA from 1 species